UACAGAGGUCUCGAGCGUUAGGCGGAAUCACUGGGCUUAAAGCGUGUGUAGGCGGAUUGGUAAGUACUUUGUGAAAUCCCACGGCUUAACCGUGGAACUGCUUGGUAUACUGCCAGUCUUGAGCCAGCUAGGGGCUACCGGAACAAAUGGUGGAGCGGUGAAAUGCGUUGAUAUCUACAGGAACUCCGGUGGCGAAAGCGGCGUGCUGGACCUUUUCUGACGCUGAGGCGCGAAAGCUAGGGGAGCGAACGGG
rnacentral:rRNA from 1 species